rnacentral:rRNA from 1 species
AAAAUCAAGGCUGAGGCGUGAUGACGAGGCACUACGGUGCUGAAGCGACAAAUGCCCUGCUUCCAGGAAAAGCCUCUAAGCAUCAGGUAACAUCAAAUCGUACCCCAAACCGACACAGGUGGUCAGGUAGAGAAUACCAAGGCGCUUGAGAGAACUCGGGUGAAGGAACUAGGCAAAAUGGUGCCGUAACUUCGGGAGAAGGCACGCUGAUAUGUAGGUGAAGCGACUUGCUCGUGGAGCUGAAAUCAGUCGAAGAUACCAGCUGGCUGCAACUGUUUAUUAAAAACACAGCACUGUGCAAACACGAAAGUGGACGUAUACGGUGUGACGCCUGCCCGGUGCCGGAAGGUUAAUUGAUGGGGUUAGCGGUAACGCGAAGCUCUUGAUCGAAGCCCCGGUAAACGGCGGCCGUAACUAUAACGGUCCUAAGGUAGCGAAAUUCCUUGUCGGGUAAGUUCCGACCUGCACGAAUGGCGUAAUGAUGGCCAGGCUGUCUCCACCCGAGACUCAGUGAAAUUGAACUCGCUGUGAAGAUGCAGUGUACCCGCGGCAAGACGGAAAGACCCCGUGAACCUUUACUAUAGCUUGACACUGAACAUUGAGCCUUGAUGUGUAGGAUAGGUGGGAGGCUUUGAAGUGUGGACGCCAGUCUGCAUGGAGCCGACCUUGAAAUACCACCCUUUAAUGUUUGAUGUUCUAACGUGGGCCCCUUACCGGGGUUGCGGACAGUGUCUGGUGGGUAGUUUGACUGGGGCGGUCUCCUCCUAAAGAGUAACGGAGGAGCACGAAGGUUGGCUAAUCCUGGUCGGACAUCAGGAGGUUAGUGCAAUGGCAUAAGCCAGCUUGACUGCGAGCGUGACGGCGCGAGCAGGUGCGAAAGCAGGUCAUAGUGAUCCGGUGGUUCUGAAUGGAAGGGCCAUCGCUCAACGGAUAAAAGGUACUCCGGGGAUAACAGGCUGAUACCGCCCAAGAGUUCAUAUCGACGGCGGUGUUUGGCACCUCGAUGUCGGCUCAUCACAUCCUGGGGCUGAAGUAGGUCCCAAGGGUAUGGCUGUUCGCCAUUUAAAGUGGUACGCGAGCUGGGUUUAGAACGUCGUGAGACAGUUCGGUCCCUAUCUGCCGUGGGCGCUGGAGAACUGAGGGGGGCUGCUCCUAGUACGAGAGGACCGGAGUGGACGCAUCACUGGUGUUCGGGUUGUCAUGCCAAUGGCACUGCCCGGUAGCUAAAUGCGGAAGAGAUAAGUGCUGAAAGCAUCUAAGCACGAAACUUGCCCCGAGAUGAGUUCUCCCUGACUCCUUGAGAGUCCUGAAGGAACGUUGAAGACGACGACGUUGAUAGGCCGGGUGUGUAAGCGCAGCGAUGCGUUGAGCUAACCGGUACUAAUGAACCGUGAGGCUUAACCUUACAACGCCGAAG